rnacentral:rRNA from 1 species
AAUAUUGGACAAUGGGCGAAAGCCUGAUCCAGCCUUGCCGCUUGUUUGAAGAAGGUCUUCGGAUUGUAAAGCACUUUAAGUUGGGAGGAAGAGUUGUAGGCUAAUACCUUGCAAUUUUGACGUUACCACAAGAAUAAGCAUCGGCUAACUUCGUACCAGCAGCCGUGGUAACAUGAAUCGUCCAAGCGUUAACCGAAAUUACUGGGCGUAAAGCGCUAGUAGGUGGUUCGUUAAGUUAGAAGUGAAAGCCCCGGGCUUAACCUGGCAAUUGCUUUCAAAACUGACGAGCUAGAGUACAGUAGAAGGUAGUGGAAUUUCCUGUGUAGCGGUGAAAUGCGUAGAUAUAGGAAGGAACAUCAGUGGCGAAGGCGACUACCUGGACUGAUACUGACACUGAGGUGCGAAAGCGUGGGGAGCAAACAGG